rnacentral:snRNA from 1 species
UUCUCUUCAGAUGUAUAAAUCUUUGCCUUUUACUAAAGAUUUCCGUGGAGAGGA